UGGCCGAUAGCUUAACGGUAAAGCACUGUCCUGUUAAGACAGCUUAUGAAAGUUCGAAUCUUUCCCGGCCAG
rnacentral:tRNA from 1 species